ensembl:lncRNA
AUAAAACAAAAGUGUAAAAACAAUUGAGGGAGACAGCAUCACUGCAGAGAGACAGCAAUUUGUCUUCUACCUACUCAUCCAUCCUUCUGGAACUGAAAGGCAGCUUUGAUAUGGAAAGAUGCAACAAGAGCAGGGAAGAAAGCUGUAAGCUGACUGUGGUGCCAAAUACAAAAAGCAGCUGAGGACAGGAUUCUGAGGUUCUCUGUGGCUGGCAAAGGGCAUGCUCUCUACAUUCAGAGCUUUCACGAGGAGAAAAUACCAGUUUCUCAAAGCUGCAACUUUUUAUGGAAAAAAAGUUCAUAUGAAUGAUGGUUUUGUCAACAGGGCUUCAAUGGCCCAGAGAAGAAUUUGUUGUGAAAAGGAUAAAAGGAACUGUUCUGUAUCCCUGCUGGAUGAUUGCUUCUUCCAGGUGAAGAGGGCUGCAUGGCUAGUAACUGGUCAGUCUCUAGCUCCUUGAAGUUAGUGUGGAGCAUUUUCAUUUCAAGGAAGUCUUGAGAUAUCCUAAAGUAAUUGUAAACUAAUUAUCAUAGUGCUUAAGAUACAGUUGCUGGUUUUUUUCAAGCAUACAAUGCAUUUUAGAAAAUAUUUUCCAUGUCUCACACAUUCUGUCUUAAAUUGGACAUUUGUUAGUAUAAUCGUUUAUAGUUUCCUAAUGCUUAACAAAAUAUACUCCUGGAAACCUUUUAAUCAAAAUUAUUUUAUGAUUUUAUGCUUAUUAUGUUGGCCCAAGCCAACACUUUGGGCAUGAAGGGUCAACCCUUGUGGUUGAUGUUCUUGCAGUCUUUAUGGUCUCUCUUUAUCAUCACUCAUUCAGAACACUUUCAAGCAGAUUUUCCUCACUUACCCUUUUAUUCUUUGGUUAGAGUGUUUAAUGCCGUAGGGAUGAUCUUUCUAAGUAUGCUCCUUCUCUGCCUUCUUUAAAUUCUAAUGCACAUCCACUGGAUCCUGAUCAAGUGGAUAAGAAUUACUUAUUGUGUGAUCACAUGUGAAAAACAGUAUUUUUACCUUGUGUAAAAAUGCAGUUUUUACCUUGCAAUUUUACCUUGCUUAAAAACAAAAAAGAAAAAACUCUGUCUUUAGUUCUCCCUCUAACCCUGCAGGUUUGAAAUAUUUGUAGGUUAUUAAAUGAGAAAUGGAGUUUUUCUGAACUACAGAUAUAUUUCCAGUACUUCACUGUCAAUCUAACUUACUGAUAUGGGUUCUUUACAACCAACUGUUGCUUUAUCAGCAUGGUUAUCAAAAUCAGCUUCUCACAAUACUUAUGAUGCAGUAGAAAUUGGGGUGAGAUUUGGGAAUUUAUUUAUUUGAUGCGAUGGGAGGAGUUUAUUACACUUUUCAACAUAACAAGAUUAAACCGAGUACACUUAAUAUUGAGAAAUUAUAUUCAAUGCAUGAUUUCCACAUUGUUUUUGUCAGGAAAGUACGUAGUAUUUCAACUUCUGUACAGUUCAUGGUACUGGCUUUAGAACAAGACAAACCUGAAAAAUGUAGAUAGUUUUUGUUACAGGCACAAUGUGAAAGGAAGUUCUUUUAGUACUUACCAGAGGGUCCUUAAUGUCUUUUAGUGCUGAGUCUUUCCAUUAACUAUCAUGAAAAUUACAAAUGUUCCUCUUUUUCUGUAAUUCUGAGGUCAUAUCAUUGCUGAUGACACUUUCCCGUUGCUACCUGCUGUGGCAGAGGGUGAAGUGAAUCAGCUUUGUAAAAAUUUAACAGGUUUUUCAUCCUCUGGACUUGUAUCUCAUCAGCAGGUAAUGAAGCCAAGAUUGUUCCUCCCAUCUACUUCUACCUCAUCUGAUAUUAAAAACUCAGUGUGGAUUGUUUUGGAAAAUGUUAGGACAGUGCUCUCUUCCUGAGUCCCAUUCAUGGCAUCUUGUACAUUGUAUAAAUGCAAUUAGAAACCCUUUUUUCCCCACUAGUUUUAAAAAGGCUUUUUGCGUCCUGAUGUAUUUCUGAUUACAUUCUACUAUGCUUGCAUUCUACUACUGCUUGAAAAUACCUGGUGUUAGAUGUAAACUCUCCAUUAUAUAGACAUAAUGUUUUUCCUCUUAAUGUUGAUUUUAUCCUUUUACUUCCAAAGGGUAAAGCAGGAUUAUGUAAUAGAGCUAUCUAAAAAUGCAUAGCUUAUACAUUUGUAUCAUUCUGUAUGUUGUAUGGUAGCCUGUUGACUUUUCACAAGGCUCAGCUGAGUAAUUGUCACAGCAUUUUUAGCAUACUUAAUUAGGAAGUCAAGAAUGUAAUCUAAUAUGCUUUUUCCUUGUGAUUUUGUUAAAUGUGUCUUUAAUUGUUAAACAGAUGAUUGACAACUUCAGAAAAGAUACGCAUUUUACAUUAAUAUAUCCAAUUCAGGCUGCACUUUUAUUCUUGCAUCCUAUUUAGAAGAUAAUAAAAACAAAAGCAAAGAUGAAAAAUUCA